CCUGAGAAACCCGAAAGAUCGAAUGGGGAGAUUCAUCGUCAACGUGGUUGGCUUCCAUGCGGUGCGCGAUGGUUCCCGGUUUACCGGGGGCUACGCUGCCGCUGUGGUAUGUGUCCGGCUCCGUCGGCGUGCACUUCUCCCCUAGUAGAACGUCGCGACCCGUUGAGUGUCGGUUUAAGGGCCGAGAUGACAGACUGUCUCGUCGCUUCGGCGCACGAUGUCAGGCUCUUGGAUUCCUGAUCGACUGCUCGACGGUAGUAAGUAUGGUAUUGAGCCGCACUCGAAUGCGUUCAGACUCGUUGCAAGCUCGUUCACUUUGCCUGGAGGUGCGGACCUAGUGCCGUCCCUGGGGGUGAGCGGUUGUUGGCGUACGAUGUUCUCGAACCGGCUUAUAACGCGCUUUAAUCAGCGAUACCUGUCUGCGACGCUAUUGCUUUGGGUACUUUCAGGACCCGUCUUGAAACACGGACCAAGGAGUCUAACGCGUACGCGAGUCAUUGGGAUUAUUGAAACCUAAAGGCGUAUUGAAAGAAAAGAUCGGCCUUGCGUCGAUUGAGGGAGGAUGAGCYGCGUCCAGCGCGUGGCUCCGCACUCCCGGGGCGUUUCGUAGUCAUUGCGACUUGAGGCGCACCCAGAGCGUACACGUUGGGACCCGAAAGAUGGUGAACUAUGCCUGGUCAGGAUGAAGUCAGGGGAAACCCUGAUGGAGGUCCGUAGCGGGUCUGACGUGCAAAUCGAUCGUCGGAACUGGGUAUAG
rnacentral:rRNA from 1 species